rnacentral:rRNA from 1 species
UUUAAAGUCUGACCUGCCCAAUGAUUUAUUUAAUGGCCGCAGUAUUUUGACUGUGCAAAGGUAGCAUAAUCAUUAGUUUUUUAAUUGAAAGCUGGAAUGAAGGGUUUAAUGAAAAAUAAGUUGUCUCGAUAUUAAAAUAAUAAUUUUAUUUUUAAGUAAAAAAGCUUAAAUUUAUUAAAAAGACGAGAAGACCCUAUAGAGUUUAAUAUUUAAAUAUAAAAUUAUUAAUGACUUAAUUAAAAAAUUUUUUAUGUGUAAUAUUUUAUUGGGGUGAUAUUAAAAUUUAAAAAACUUUUAAUUAUAAAAACCAUUAAUUAAUGAUUUUUUGAUCCAAAAUUUUUGAUUAAAAGAAAAAAUUACCUUAGGGAUAACAGCGUAAUUUUUUUUUAGAGUUCUUAUUAAAAAAAAAGAUUGCGACCUCGAUGUUGGAUUAAAAUUUAAUUUUGGUGUAGAAGCUUAAAUAUUUAGGUCUGUUCGACCUUUAAAAUUUUACA